rnacentral:rRNA from 1 species
UACAGAGGGGGCAAGCGUUAUUCGGAAUUCUUGGGCGUAAAGGGCGCGUAGGCGGCCUGGCAAGUGGAAGGUGAAAUCCCUCGGCUUAACCGAGGAACUGCCCUCCAGACUGCUUGGCUUGAGUCCGGGAGAGGUGAGUGGAAUUCCCAGUGUAGCGGUGAAAUGCGUAGAUAUUGGGAGGAACACCAGUGGCGAAGGCGGCUCACUGGACCGGAACUGACGCUGAGGCGCAAAAGCGUGGGGAGCAAACGGG